CUAUGCCAGCUGGAGACACCCGGCCUCGGAGGCUCACGUUAUGCCGACCCCCACCCCAGUGCUGUCACGCCACUGCCAGUUGUUCCUCAUCUUAAUCCUACUUCAUGGUGGUCAUUUUAAAAGCAUCAGAGCUUUUGACACAGAACCAAAGCAGGGCAUUGCAGUGAAUGGGCCCUUUCUCUCCAUUGGUACCUGUAUUUGGUUUUCUUCUUUUUUGCUAUGGAUGAAGAUAUCUCAUGGAUGAAUGAUGCCAUUGUGAGCUUGGAGAAUACUAAUAUGGCAACAGGUCACAACAUGCGUGACAGGAAAUAGAACAACAGUAGAAAAACAUCUGGGACAUGCCUUAUGGACAAGCGACAUAAAGACCAGACAAGAAAGAAGAAAGGAAAAGAGAGGGACCUCUCCAGCGGCUUCAGCUUCUCACAGCAUGGCCCUCAAGGCUGGUGCCCAUGAGGAAAUGUUCAAAAGCAAGCAGACGAAGAGGCACGUGGGGAAGCUGCGACUUCUGUGACCGAGCCUCCAAAUCCCCAAAGUCACACAGCUGCAUUCUGGACUUACCAAGCAUGUUGGUAAGUCCAGCCAUGUCUAAGGGGAGAGGAGGCGUCAAUCUCAUCUCUGGAUGUGCACACAGGGAAGGAAGCAUUGAUGGAUGCCACCUUGGAGGCACAGUACCACAGUCUCCCAGUUACUCAGCUUCUGACAUUGAAACUGUGGACAAGAGAUCCUGGAGGACAGACCCUGAAGCGCUCCCUUACCUGAUGGCCUCCCGACAGAAGAGGAACCCUGGGCUUUAGAGACUGAUUAUUGUAACACUGAGACCAAAUGGUGGUCAGUCUUCGAGGGCACACCCUAUGCAGACUCAUUUCUGUGUGGGCAAAUGAGUGUCAUCUAAAUAUAUCUCAGCCAUACUGCUUCAGCCCUAAGGCUUGGUUUCAUACAGUGACACAUUAAAAAGAAAAACAAAUCUAACUCCAAAC
rnacentral:lncRNA from 10 species